CAGCAGCUGUGCUCAAAACAGGAUUAUCUCUUGUUUUUCCUCUCUUUCUUUUUAAACACCUGGUUGGGGCAAAGGUCAGCUGGCUUUUUCAGCUGUGUUUCUCACUUGGAAUCAAGGGCAGCUCGUUUUUUCCAGCCUGGCUCCAUCUGCCUCUGUCUGAGCGGGUGAAGAAGCAUGUCCUGGUCCAUGGGGUGUUUGCAUCCUGGUUCCAGCAGCAUGAGAUGCCCAGGGAUGGAUGGAGGGGCCUGGCCACGCUUGGAAGGAAGGCAGCAGCGUUUGGGCUAAAUUUUUGAGCUCUCCAAGGGGAGUUUGAAGAUCUGGCUGUCAGAAAGAAGCACCAUGCCAUUAAUCAUCUGUGUUUGCACAGCAUUGAGCGGAGCAAAGUCUUGGCUUGGGAUGGGGCAGCCGAUGCUGUCAUAACAUGAAGAAUAAGCAUC